GCCAGGCGUGGUGGCGUGCACCUGUAAUCCCAGCUACUCUGGAGGCUGAGGCAGGAGAAUUGUUUGAACCCAGGAGGUGGAGGUUGCAGUGAGCCGAGACCAUGCCACUGCACACCAGCCUGGGUGACAGAGCAAGACUCUGUCUCAA
rnacentral:SRP_RNA from 1 species